AUUGAACGCUGGCGGCAGGCCUAACACAUGCAAGUCGAGCGAGCGGCGGACGGGUGAGUAAUGUCUGGGAAACUGCCUGAUGGAGGGGGAUAACUACUGGAAACGGUAGCUAAUACCGCAUACCAUCAGAUGUGCCCAGAUGGGAUUAGCUAGUAGGGGGGGUAACGGCUAACCUAGGCGACGAGCCCUAGCUGGUCUGAGAGGAUGACCAGCCACACUGGAACGUGGAUACGGUCCAGACUCAUACGGGAGGCAGCAGUGGGGAGUAUUGUACAAUGGGCGCAAACCUGAUGAAGCCAUGCGGCGGGUGUGAAGAAGGCAUUCGGGUUGUAAAGCACUUUCAGCGGGGAGGCGUUACCCGCAGAAGAAGAACCGGCUAACUCCGUGCCAGCAGCCGCGGUAAUAC
rnacentral:rRNA from 1 species